rnacentral:rRNA from 1 species
UCGCGUCGUCUGUGAAAUUCCGGGGCUUAACUCCGGGCGUGCAGGCGAUACGGGCAUAACUUGAGUACUGUAGGGGUAACUGGAAUUCCUGGUGUAGCGGUGAAAUGCGCAGAUAUCAGGAGGAACACCGAUGGCGAAGGCAGGUUACUGGGCAGUUACUGACGCUGAGGAGCGAAAGCAUGGGUAGCGAACAGGAUUAGAUACCCUGGUAGUCCAUGCCGUAAACGGUGGGCGCUAGGUGUGAGGGUCUUUUCACGACUUUCGUGCCGUAGCUAACGCAUUAAGCGCCCCGCCUGGGGAGUACGGCCGCAAGGCUAAAACUCAAAGGAAUUGACGGGGGCCCGCACAAGCGGCGGAGCAUGUGGAUUAAUUCGAUGCAACGCGAAGAACCUUACCUGGGCUUGACAUACACCGGAUCGCUGCAGAGAUGUAGUUUCCCUUUGUGGCUGGUGUACAGGUGGUGCAUGGUUGUCGUCAGCUCGUGUCGUGAGAUGUUGGGUUAAGUCCCGCAACGAGCGCAACCCUUGUCUUAUGUUGCCAGCAUUUGGUUGGGGACUCAUGAGAGACUGCCGGGGUCAACUCGGAGGAAGGUGGGGAUGACGUCAAAUCAUCAUGCCCCUUAUGUCCAGGGCUUCACACAUGCUACAAUGGUCGGUACAACGCGCAGCGACACUGUGAGGUGGAGCGAAUCGCUGAAAGCCGGCCUUAGUUCGGAUUGGGGUCUGCAACUCGACCCCAUGAAGUCGGAGUCGCUAGUAAUCGCA